rnacentral:sRNA from 1 species
AGACUGGCAAGCGUGUGGGCAAGGUACUGCAUGCCUCCUUGCAGAGUGUUCUGCACAAGGAAGAAAGCCUGGGGCCCAAGAGACAGAAAGUUGGAUUCCUGGGAUGAUUUGCAGAUCAACUGCUCAACUGUGGAUUGUUUUUUACUUUUCCUUUUAAACCGGGGAACUGAAACUCCUAAAUCUUAAAACACCCUGGGGAAGGAGCUGAUUCACGAAGGAGAGCAUUUCAACCGUGGCAUUUGCUCUCUGCAUUCCAGUUAGCAAAUGGGUGACUAUCUACAGGCACCAUGACAGUGUUCCCAACAAGGCAGAAAUCAGCCUGGUCUCUCCUUCCCUGCUCCUGGUUGACUGCCUGUGACAUGACAAAACAUUGGCAGUGGUGGCGCAGAGAUGCAACUCGAGUGUGAAUAAAGUUAAGAAGCAUUUGCUUUUGA